AGCAGUAUGGUGUAUCGUGCACAUGGGGCUUAUAUGUCGAAUAAAUGAUCGCUGUCGCCCCGAGGUCCUUGUUCGAACCAAGGUACUGCUC